rnacentral:rRNA from 1 species
AGCUCCAAGAGCGUAUAUUAAAGUUGUUGCAGUUAAAAAGCUCGUAGUUGGAUUUCUGGUACAACGCGCCUGGCCCGCAUUAUGUGAGUGCCGGUGCGCGUUUGCCAUCCUUCUAGAAAACGUUUCUACCUGGGCAACCGGGCCGGACUCGCGAUCUAGAUCUUUUACUUUGAAAAAAUUAGAGUGUUUAAAGCAGGCUUUUGCUGUGAAUACAUUAGCAUGGAAUAAUGAUCUAGGACUUCGGUUUUAUUUCGUUGGUUUCUAACACUGAAGUAAUGAUUGAUAGGGAUAGUUGGGGGUGCUAGUAUUGGCCGGCCAGAGGUGAAAUUCUUGGAUUCGGUCAAGACUAACUUAUGCGAAAGCAUUCACCAAGGAUGUCUUCUUUAAUCAAGAACGAAAG